GUACCUGUAGCGCAAUGGAUACCGCGUUAAACAUUUAAUUCAAAUGUCGUGGGUUCGAGUCCCACCUGGAAUG